rnacentral:rRNA from 1 species
UACGGAGGGUGCAAGCGUUAUCCGGAUUCACUGGGUUUAAAGGGUGCGUAGGUGGGCAGGUAAGUCAGUGGUGAAAUCUCCGAGCUUAACUCGGAACUGCCGUUGAUACUAUUUGUCUUGAAUAUUGUGGAGGUAAGCGGAAUAUGUCAUGUAGCGGUGAAAUGCUUAGAUAUGACAUAGAACACCAAUUGCGAAGGCAGCUUACUACACAACGAUUGACGCUGAGGCACGAAAGCGUGGAGAUCAAACAGG